GACGAACGCUGGCGGCGUGCCUAAUACAUGCAAGUUGAGCGCUGAAGGUUGGUACUUGUACCAACUGGAUGAGCAGCGGACGGGUGAGUAACGCGUGGGGAAUCUGCCUUUGAGCGGGGGACAACAUUUGGAAACGAAUGCUAAUACCGCAUAAAAACUUUAAACACAAGUUUUAAGUUUGAAAGAUGCAAUUGCAUCACUCAAAGAUGAUCCCGCGUUGUAUUAGCUAGUUGGUGAGGUAAAGGCUCACCAAGGCGAUGAUACAUAGCCGACCUGAGAGGGUGAUCGGCCACAUUGGGACUGAGACACGGCCCAAACUCCUACGGGAGGCAGCAGGAGGGAAUCUUCGGCAAUGGACGAAAGUCUGACCGAGCAACGCCGCGGGAGUGAAGAAGGGUCUCGGAUCGUAAAACUCUGUUGGUAGAGAAGAACGUUGGUGAGAGUGGAAAGCUCAUCAAGUGACGGUAACUACACAGAAAGGGACGGCUAACUACGUG
rnacentral:rRNA from 1 species